rnacentral:lncRNA from 1 species
CCCAGGUCCUAGCCUAUUUAUCAACCCAGGUCCUAGCCUAUUUAUCAACCCAGGUCCUAGCCUAUUUAUCAACCCAGGUCCUAGCCUCUUUAUCAACCAGGUCCUAGUCUAUUUAUCAACCCAGGUCCUAGUCUAUUUAUCAACCCAGGUCCUAGCCUAUUUAUCAACCCAGGUCCUAGCCUAUUUAUCAACCCAGGUCGUAGCCUAUUUAUCAACCCAGGUCCUAGCCUAUUUAUCAUCCCAGGUCCUAGCCUAUUUAUCAACCCAGGUCCUAGCCUAUUUAUCAACCCAGGUCCUAGCCUAUUUAUCAACACAGGUCCUAGUCUAUUUAUCAACCCAGGUCCAUGCCUAUUUAUCAACCCAGGUCCUAGUCUUUUUAUCAACCCAGGUCUUAGCCUAUUUGUCUUGGCUCCUUGUUGUGACUUGUAACAAGGUCAUAUUUUGGUUUGAUUUAUUCACAUUUUAUUAACAUGGUAAUUCACAGGUGUGGAACAAGAUAAUGUCUAAUAACAUUAGUAUUUACACAUGUGGAAUAAUAUUCAGCAAGUGAGUGUGUAAUAACACAUUCCUUGUUCCAGUUGUGUAAUAGCGUAUUCCAUAACAACCCUAUGACCAUG